CGAUGAUGAUGACGAUGAUGGUGACGAUGAUGAUGACGAUGAUGGUGAUGAUUAUGAUGAUGAUCAUGAUCCACCACCACCACCACCGCCGCCACCACCACCGCCGCCGCCGCCACCACCACCAUCAUCAUCACCAUCAAGA
rnacentral:pre_miRNA from 1 species